rnacentral:tRNA from 4 species
GGGGAUAUAGCUCAGUUGGUAGAGCUCCGGGCGGAUGUCAGCGGUUCGAGUCCGCUUAUCUCCA